rnacentral:rRNA from 1 species
GAUGAACGCUGGCGGCGUGCCUAAUACAUGCAAGUCGAGCGAACAGACGAGGAGCUUGCUCCUCUGACGUUAGCGGCGGACGGGUGAGUAACACGUGGAUAACCUACCUAUAAGACUGGGAUAACUUCGGGAAACCGGAGCUAAUACCGGAUAAUAUAUCGAACCGCAUGGUUCAAUAGUGAAAGACGGUUUUGCUGUCACUUAUAGAUGGAUCCGCGCCGCAUUAGCUAGUUGGUAAGGUAACGGCUUACCAAGGCAACGAUGCGUAGCCGACCUGAGAGGGUGAUCGGCCACACUGGAACUGAGACACGGUCCAGACUCCUACGGGAGGCAGCAGUAGGGAAUCUUCCGCAAUGGGCGAAAGCCUGACGGAGCAACGCCGCGUGAGUGAUGAAGGUCUUCGGAUCGUAAAACUCUGUUAUUAGGGAAGAACAAAUGUGUAAGUAACUAUGCACGUCUUGACGGUACCAAAUCAGAAAGCCACGGCUAACUACGUG